rnacentral:rRNA from 1 species
GAUGAACGCUGGCGGCGUGCCUAAUACAUGCAAGUCGAGCGAACGGACGAGAAGCUUGCUUCUCUGAUGUUAGCGGCGGACGGGUGAGUAACACGUGGAUAACCUACCUAUAAGACUGGGAUAACUUCGGGAAACCGUAGCUAAUACCGGAUAAUAUUUUGAACCGCAUGUUUCAAAAGUGAAAGACGGUCUUGCUGUCACUUAUAGAUGGAUCCGCGCUGCAUUAGCUAGUUGGUAAGGUAACGGCUUACCAAGGCAACGAUGCAUAGCCGACCUGAGAGGGGGAUAGGCCACACUGGAACUGAGACACGGUCCAGACUCCUAAGGGAGGCAGCAGUAGGGAGUCUUCCGCAAUGGGCGAAAGCCUGACGGAGCAACGCCGCGUGAGUGAUGAAGGUCUUCGGAUCGUAAAACUCUGUUAUUAGGGAAGAACAUAUGUGUAAGUAACUGUGCACAUCUUGACGGUACCUAAUCAGAAAGCCACGGCUAACUACGUG